AAAUGUACCAAUAAAAUAAAAUUUUAAAAAAUAUAAUCACAUUGGGAGUUUAUUUCCUGUUCAGUUCAUAGUUCUGGGCUGGGCAAGAGGUAGGUGGAGCAGUCCUCCCUAGGAUGGUCAUCUAGGGACUCGGACUGACAGAGCCUUUGCCAACUCAUUAAGUCACUUCCAAGACUGCUCAGGGAACACUGCAAUCCCAGCCAGGCAGACAGGACGAGACCAGGCCUUUGAAGUGGCCCACACUGCUUCCUCUUCAUAUCUACUGGACAAAAUAUAUUACUCCAGUGGCUAAUCACAGGCUACUUACUCCCUAGUUGCAAGGAAGACCAGGCUAUACAUACCCAGGAAGAAGAUUUAGCUCUUUGGUGGCAUAACCAAAUGGGACCAUGUCUACUUGCCUCUUGCUCCUUGUUCUCCUUUGAUGUCUUCAUCCUUUGUGGCAGAAUUCUAGAGCCAAGAUGAUGAGCACCCCCCCC
rnacentral:lncRNA from 1 species